GAAGACCAAGGGUUCCUGUCCAACGUUAAUCGGGGCAGGGUAAGUCGACCCCUAAGGCGAGGCCGAAAGGCGUAGUCGAUGGGAAACGGGUUAAUAUUCCCGUACUUCUUACAAUUGCGAUGGGGGGACGGAGAAGGCUAGGUGGGCCUGGCGACGGUUGUCCAGGUUCAAGUGCGUAGGCUUAAGAGUUAGGUAAAUCCGGCUCUUUUUAAGGCUGAGACACGACGUCGAGCAUCUACGG
rnacentral:rRNA from 1 species